rnacentral:tRNA from 1 species
UUGGGUGUAGCUCAGUGGUAAAGCAUGUGCUUAGCAUAUACAAAGCCCUGGGUUCAAUCCCUAGCAUCCCAC